AUGCAACGCGAAGAACCUUACCUGGUCUUGACAUCCACGGAAGUUUUCAGAGAUGAGAAUGUGCCUUCGGGAACCGUGAGACAGGUGCUGCAUGGCUGUCGUCAGCUCGUGUUGUGAAAUGUUGGGUUAAGUCCCGCAACGAGCGCAACCCUUAUCCUUUGUUGCCAGCGAUUAGGUCGGGAACUCAAAGGAGACUGCCAGUGAUAAACUGGAGGAAGGUGGGGAUGACGUCAAGUCAUCAUGGCCCUUACGACCAGGGCUACACACGUGCUACAAUGGCGCAUACAAAGAGAAGCGACCUCGCGAGAGCAAGCGGACCUCAUAAAGUGCGUCGUAGUCCGGAUUGGAGUCUGCAACUCGACUCCAUGAAGUCGGAAUCGCUAGUAAUCGUGGAUCAGAAUGCCACGGUGAAUACGUUCCCGGGCCUUGUACACACCGCCCGUCACACCAUGGGAGUGGGUUGCAAAAGAAGUAGGUAGCUUAACCUUCGGGAGGGCGCUUACCACUUUGUGAUUCAUGACUGGGGUGAAGUCGUAACAAGGUAACCGUAGGGGAACCUGCGGUUGGA
rnacentral:rRNA from 1 species